rnacentral:rRNA from 1 species
AAAGGAAUAGACGGGGGCCCGCACAAGCAGUGGAGUAUGUGGUUUAAUUCGACGCAACGCGAAAAACCUUACCAGGUCUUGACAUCCUACUAACGAAACAGAGAUGUAUUAGGUACCUUUCGGGGGAAGUAGAGACAGGUGGUGCAUGGUUGUCGUCAGCUCGUGUCGUGAGAUGUUGGGUUAAGUCCCGCAACGAGCGCAACCCCUAUCAUUAGUUGCUACGCAAGAGCACUCUAGUGAGACUGCCGUUGACAAAACGGAGGAAGGUGGGGAUGACGUCAAAUCAUCAUGCCCUUUAUGACCUGGGCUACACACGUACUACAAUGGCGGCUAACAAAGGGGAGCGAAGGGGUGACCCGGAGCAAAUCCUCAAAAGCCGUCUCAGUUCAGAUUGUAGGCUGCAACUCGCCUACAUGAAGUCGGAAUUGCUAGUAAUCGUGAAUCAGCAUGUCACGGUGAAUACGUUCCCGGGCCUUGUACACACCGCCCGU